AGAGAGAAAAAAACGUACCCGCACAACCCACAACCCAACCUCCCAAUCCCAUCUCCACCUCCAGCGCUCCUCCACCCCCGCCGCCGCCGCCGCCGGCCCCUGCCGCGCGCCGCCGACCCCCUCCUUGCGGCCAACUCCGCCGGGGCGCUACCCCUACCCCAAGUGCCCCACCCCGCGGCCUUCCACCGCCGACGACACACGACGCCGCGCUGUUGCCGGCUCCCCCUCCCCUGCUACCACGGUGCUGCCGGGACUCCUCCCCGUUGCUUCGACCUCGGCGUUGGUUCCCCCAAACCCGCCGGUUUCGCCACCGGCCACAACUUCCUGGCGCACUCCACCAACCGACAGACCAGUUCGCCCGCCUCCCAUGGCUAACAUCGCUGCUACCCCAGUGUCGCUUCCCACCCCAGGGGCUCAUCUCCUCCACCUGCGCGCCACUCCCCGACCUUCCCUUUUCGCGCCGUAUGCUUCCUCCCGCUUCACUGCCUGGCAUGUGCCAGGUCCAAUCUGGACGAACAGGACAACAUAGCCAGCCAUAUGCGCCCCUCCAAUCUGAACGGCUUGCUCUGCAUGAUGCCGCUUGCUUGCUGUGUGUGGGGUAUAUUUUUGUUGUACUCUUAAUUUGCUGUUGAUGUCAUAUGCUACAGAUUCAUGUUUUUAUGAGAUACUUGGAAUACGUAAGAGUACUGAUAUAGUAGAAACAAAGCACGUACAGUUAGCAAUACAGAAGCCGCAGAAUGUUUAAGGGGAGUUGAAUGUCAAAAACCACAACCCUGCUACUCUGAUAGUUUUCAGGCUCACAUUUUAUGGGAAAUUAUUCAGUUUGUCACUUUGUUAUGGGAUAUAAUGUCUAACAUAUCAUAAUGUUUUGGUGGAAACGGUAGUAGUUUCUGACCUCUUUCAGAGUUUAAACUAUUUUCCUGAUGACUGAAUGAAGUUGAAACUUUGACAACGGAUGUAGCAGGGUUAACAGAAAACAUGAUGCACGAUUGAAUUAAACAUGCAGGGUUCAAUACGCAUCUCUAAUUAUUCUUAUGUUUAUUAUUUUUAAUAAUCUACCACUUCUGGCAUCCUGUCGGUGAGUCUUCUUUUGGCCUGCGAACCAUAGUCAUUGUAGCUUUGCUCUAGUUUGCCAAUGUAUAGCUGAAUAUGAGCCAUCUACUUGCUGGAAGUGGUCACAUAUGGGGUAACUUUUAGUGGCAGGGUGAAGCAAUGGUACUGGCAUUUGUAUUACUGAAAGUACAGUACAUACUUUGUGUUAUUUUGCAUGCUCUCUAUAUGUUCUCGUCUUGGCAGGGGAUGCUUGGUGAUGACUCCUUAAAUGCUCUGAGUAAUAAUUGAGAAUACAUAGACAAUGUCAAAUUGAAGUGUGAUAUUUGUAUGUCAUAUUUACUCCACAAUAACUUUUUAUGUGUUUUUCUCAUUCUUUUUACAUAGACGUAAUGAUUUCUUUAUGCCGCAAUGUUACUUAUGUCAUUUGGAUUUGGACAUGCCGCAGUGUUACUUCGAUCUCUGGAUGGUUGGUGGCCACCUUAAUUAGAAUCAUUAGGGGUAAUGUAGUUGCAAUGCAGUAUCUAUGUGUGGGCUACCGGAUGGAGUUGCAACAGCUGUGGUCAAAAGCCGGAUGUUUUGGAGAUGCCAUGUUUGAUUAAUUAAUUAAUCAUCUUUUGUGGUGCCAUUAGUUCUGAUCCUGAGCUAGGAGGAUUUAAUAUUCUUAAUCAUGCUUUCAUGCAAAUUGACCCAGUUCGUCCAUUGAUUGAUUACUGGACUCCGAGUUGCAUUGCUUAUUUUGGUAAGUGAGAACGUAUGACUGUAAUUCUGCAUACAUCAUCAUGCUAUUUCCUCCUAAUUUAUAUAUGAAGAUUAAGUGUCCCUUUUUACCUAAAAUUUACUUGAAUAUUUAACUGAGAAUUACUUCAUUGUGUGUCAUGCCUAUCUUAUUCCAUCCACAUGAUCUAUGGACCACAGAUAUAGUUCUCAAUCCAAGGAGAGUCCGAAAACUAAUAAUUUGUGCCUUGAAUAACGAAUGUAAUUUUUUUGUUCUAAUCUUGAAACUUUGGCUAAUGUGAUAAUCCUUUUCGCCCUCAUCGAUGGUGGCCAUCUAUUUGAUCACAACACAUGGUCAAUCCCAAGGUGAUAAGCUCUGCUUCUUUUGGUAUACACAUUUGAGUAAUCCAUUCGUGUUAUCCAAACAGACUUGUUAGUUGUAGUGAGUACAAUCUAACAGAAGCAAAAGUCUCUAUUGAUUGUUGUAGGAGAUCCAGAAAGCGGAGCAUUGGGGCACUCUGAUUUUUAAGAAGCUCCAUGCACGUAUUAAGGCCAGUAAAUUCAAUUUGUUUCUCAUCUGCUUCUCUAUGGUCUGUUGUCCUUAUUCGAUCUGUUAUUCAGGUAUGUGUUGUUAACGCUCCUAAUUUUGGGAGAAUCAGAAAAAAAAUAAGUUUUGCAAGUUACGUCAUAUUUCCAUGUUUUAGUAUGAGAUUUAGAUAUAUUGUUUCUCCGGUUCCAUAUUCAUUAUAUGUUUUUCUCCUAUAAUUGGCCUGCUUAUUUACACAAGUCUGAAUUCCUAAAGGUUCAAGAGUAUUUCAAUGUUGCUAAAGAAAGAUACAAGGAUCAGUGCCGUAACAUUGUUGAAAGACAAUCAGACACAGACACCAUGCAGCAGCACUUCACCCUGCAGUUCAUGCUCUGCUCACCAUGACCUGCCUCCUCAUCAUCAGACAUACUCAUGUGUACUAGGAUCUCCUCACCAUCAAAGUUCAUGUGUCCUCUAGAUCAAGCCUAUGCAUGUGAGCUGAAGAAUUGUUUGCCUGUUCACAAUUGGUGAUUGAAGGGUGGCCGGUGACUUCCAUAAUUUUCUUGUAGUUGUUUGUUGGAUAAUCUUUAAAAUUAGGAUUGUAGAGAACUUUACAUUACUGUAAAACUUCGUCUUCUUGGUGUUGAUGCUUACAUAUUCCAUUAUGCUAACUCAGCAACACUUUUAGCAGAAAUUGGUUGUUUAUGCAGACACGCGGUGUAGUAAAAUUGAAGAUUUAGCUCCCGCAUUGCAUACUUAUGCUAUGUUGUAGUAAUGUUCUAUCCAUGAAUUAUAUAUAGCAGACUGUAUGUUCAGCCUC